UAGAGUUUGAUCAUGGCUCAGGACGAACGCUGGCGGCAUGCCUAACACAUGCAAGUCGAACGAGAAAGUUCCUUCGGGAGCGAUUAAAGUGGCGCACGGGUGAGUAACGCGUAGACAAUCUGCCCUUCAGUCUGGGACAACUUUUCGAAAGGAGAGCUAAUACCGGAUGACAAUGUAACACAUAAGUGUCACAUUUGAAAGCUCCGGCGCUGAAGGAGGGGUCUGCGUCCCAUUAGCUAGUUGGUAAGGUAAAGGCUUACCAAGGCGACGAUGGGUAGCGGGUUUGAGAGGACGAUCCGCCACACUGGAACUGAGACACGGUCCAGACUCCUACGGGAGGCAGCAGUGGGGAAUAUUGCACAAUGGAGGCAACUCUGAUGCAGCAAUGUCGCGUGAGUGAAGAAGGCCCUUGGGUCGUAAAGCUCUUUUAUGGGGGAAGAUGAUGACGGUACCCCAAGAAUAAGCACCGGCUAACUACGUGCCAGCAGCCGCGGUAAUACA
rnacentral:rRNA from 1 species